UACGUAGGGGGCAAGCGUUGUCCGGAUUUAUUGGGUUUAAAGGGUGCGUAGGCGGUCUAUUAAGUCAGCGGUGAAAUACUCCAGCUUAACUGGAGGGGUGCCAUUGAUACUGAUGGACUUGAGUCAAGUCGAGGUAGGCGGAAUUGACGGUGUAGCGGUGAAAUGCUUAGAUAUCGCCAAGAACACCAAUAGUGAAGACAGCUUACUGGGCUUAAACUGACGCUGAGGCACGAAAGUGUGGGGAUCAAACAGG
rnacentral:rRNA from 1 species